rnacentral:lncRNA from 1 species
AAAAGAGGUAGUCAUAACUACACAAAAGAAAAGCGUGUUCUAGUCUGUUCUUAAUUUGUUCUUGAACAAAUUCUCUUUGAUUUGAAGAGAGACCUUAAUUGGUAUCAAAUCACAUGUUUCUAGAUCAACAUUGAUAUCUCUUGGCAAGGGACCUAUCAGUGGUAUCAGAGCAUGUUUUGUUUUUGAUCCGGACCACUUUGUGGUAUCAAAAACUUUAUAUUUUUCAUCUUCCUUGUUAUCGGUAUUCUUCAUGAAUCAACGGUUAUCAAGAAUCCUCGACGAACGGCCAUUCUCAGAAUCAACGAUUAUCGAGAUCUAUCCAGCGAUUUUUUUCUUUUUACCAUUUUCUUCUUUUCGGGUUUGUUGAUCAAGUUCAACAUCCUUUCAUUUGUUAUGGAUUAAAAUCUGUAAUUCUUCCAUUGUUUUUCAGUUUUCAAAAAAAAAAAGAUUUCAUCUUUCUUGUCAUUUAAAAGAAAAAGAAAAAAAAACAGUUUUAUUCUAAUAAGGAAACAAGCUUGGUCUGGGUCUUUGAAGUUGUAAUGCGUUGAAAGACAUCUACUGGCAAGAAAAAUCAACAUGGAAGAAAGAGAAGCAACUCAAGUCAAGCUUUCCUCAGUUCAUCACAAACCUUGAGGACAAGGUUCUUUGACGGCCGGAGUAUUGAUGAGAUAGUAAUCGCGUUAACGUUGGUCAACGAACCGGACCUGGUUUUCAGUGUUUCAUUGUUCUUUUAAUUAUUUAUUUUAAUGAGUUUAGUUGUUAAUAAUGGAGACUGAUUCUUCCUCAUGUUUAGGAACUUAAUCAUCCCACGUUUCCUAUUUCAUCGUUUUAUAGGGAUCAUGAUCCCACAAUUGCUUCUUGUAACUUUUAUCUAUUUAAAUCAAUGCAAAUAACAAAAAGAGGUAGUCAUAACUACCCAAAAGAAAAGCGUGUUCUAGUGUGUUCUUAAUUUGUUCUUGAAUAAAUUCUCUUUGAUUUGAAAAGAGACCUUAAUUGGUAUCAAAUCACAUGUUUCUAGAUCAGCAAUAGAUUAUCCUAUAACUGGGACCUAUCAAAAGGUUAUUAGAUACGAUAUGAAGAAGAAAGAGGCCACAGUUGUAAUGGACAAACUUUUUCUUUUUUUGGUGAUAGUAAUGGACAAACUUCAUUUACCCAAUGGUUUAGAUCGUUUGUACUCACAUGUGAAAGUGUUACAAAUACUAUCCAUAGAAUAUGGGUCAAGGAUCCAAUAGCCGGGCCAACGAGGUUUUCACAAAGAUCCCGGGUCCUAUGGACAAUAUCCGGCGCACGCCUAUGGGAGAUUUAAGGGUCGCAUUGCAUUCCAAAGACAGUUUGUUCACUCGUAGUUCGUAUUCUGAUUCCGGUUCGAACCGGGAAGCGGACGUCCGAUGAAGUUUCCGUGCAACGUAGCUCUCAGUGAGUCGGCCACUGAGUUAAAUGUAAAAACAAACCAAAUUGAUGAGAUAGUAAUCGCGUUAACGUUGGUCAACGAACCGGACCUGGUUUGCAGUGUUUCAUUGUUCUUUUAAUUAUUUAUUUUAAUGAGUUUAGUUGUUAAUAAUGGAGACUGAUUCUUCCUAAUGUUUAGGAACUUAAUCAUCCCACGUUUCCCAUUUCAUCGUUGUAUAGGGAUCAUGAUCCCACAAUUGCUUCUUGUAACUUUUAUCUAUUUAAAUCAAUGCAAACAACAAAAAGAGGUAGUCAUAACUACCCAAAAGAAAAGCGUGUUCUAGUGUGUUCUUAAUUUGUUCUUGAACAAAUUCUCUUUGAUUUGAAGAGAGACCUUAAUUGGUAUCAAAUCACAUGUUUCUAGAUCAACGUUGAUAUCUCUUGGCAAGGGACCUAUCAGUGGUAUCAGAGCAUGUUUUGUUUUUGAUCCGGACCACUUUGUGGUAUCAAAAACUUUAUAUUUUUCAUCUUCCUUGUUAUCGGUAUUCUUCAUGAAUCAACGGUUAUCAAGAAUCCUCGACGAACGAUCAUUCUCAGAAUCAACGAUCAUUGAGAUCUAUCCAGCGAUUUUUUCUUUUUACCAUUUUCUUCUUUUCGGGUUUGUUGAUCAAGUUCAACAUCCUUUCAUUUGUUAUGGAUUAAAAUCUGUAAUUCUUCCAUUGUUUUUCAGUUUUCAAAAAAAAAAAAUUUCAUCUUACUUGUCAUUUAAAAGAAAAGCAAAAAAAAACAGUUUUAUUCUAAUAAGGAAACAAGCUUGGUCUGGGUCUUUGAAGUUGUAAUGCGUUGAAAGACAUCUACUGGCAAGAAGAAUCAACAUGGAAGAAAGAGAAGCAACUCAAGUCAAGCUUUCCUCAGUUCAUCACGAACCUUGAGGACAAGGUUCUUUGACGUCCGGAGUAUUGAUGAGAUAGUAAUCGCGUUAACGUUGGUCAACGAACCGGACCUGGUUUGCAGUGUUUCAUUGUUCUUUUAAUUAUUUAUUUUAAUGAGUUUAGUUGUUAAUAAUGGAGACUGAUUCUUCCUAAUGUUUAGGAACUUAAUCAUCCCACGUUUCCCAUUUCAUCGUUGUAUAGGGAUCAUGAUCCCACAAUUGCUUCUUGUAACUUUUAUCUAUUUAAAUCAAUGCAAACAACAAAAAGAGGUAGUCAUAACUACACAAAAGAAAAGCGUGUUCUAGUCUGUUCUUAAUUUGUUCUUGAACAAAUUCUCUUUGAUUUGAAGAGAGACCUUAAUUGGUAUCAAAUCACAUGUUUCUUGAUCAGCAAUAGAUUAUCCUAUAACUGGGACCUAUCAAUUGGUAUCAAUUGGAAAAGAAAAAAAAACAGUUUUAUUCUAAUAAGGAAACAAGCUUGGUAUGGGUCUUUGAAGUUGUAAUGCGUUGAAAGACAUCUACUGGCAAGAAAAAUCAACAUGGAAGAAAGAGAAGCAACUCAAGUCAAGCUUUCCUCAGUUCAUCACAAACCUUGAGGACAAGGUUCUUUGACGGCCGGAGUAUUGAUGAGAUAGUAAUCGCGUUAACGUUGGUCAACGAACCGGACCUGGUUUGCAGUGUUUCAUUGUUCUUUUAAUUAUUUAUUUUAAUGAGUUUAGUUGUUAAUAAUGGAGACUGAUUCUUCCUAAUGUUUAGGAACUUAAUCAUCCCA